rnacentral:rRNA from 1 species
GGUACCUACGGGGCGCAGCAGUGAGGAAUAUUGGUCAAUGGGAGAGAUCCUGAACCAGCCAAGCCGCGUGAGGGAAGACGGCCCUAUGGGUUGUAAACCUCUUUUGUCGGAGAACAAAACCCGGGACGUGUCCCGGACUGCGUGUAUCCGAAGAAAAAGCAUCGGCUAACUCCGUGCCAGCAGCCGCGGUAAUACGGAGGAUGCGAGCGUUAUCCGGAUUUAUUGGGUUUAAAGGGUGCGUAGGCGGAUUGUCAAGUCAGCGGUAAAAUACGGGGGCUCAACCUCCGCCCGCCGUUGAAACUGAC